UCUGCACUAAAUCACAGUGUUGUUUGUGUACAACAACUGUAAGAGCCAAACAUUCAGAAAGAUGCAGGCAUUUGGAGUAAAGAUUGUUGCUCUGGUUGUGGUCAUGAUGCUGGUCUCCAGCUCUUUGGCUAGUCCUACCCAUGUGAUUGAGAAGCGCUCAAGUGAGGAGAAACGCCGCACUACCAAAACCAACAACCUAUCCUUGGCCCAGCUUACUGAGCUGCUCCAGAUCCUGAAGCUCAUCAAGGACUUGUCUCAACAGCUUGCAAAACCAUGAUGUUACCAUGCUCUGAAUAAAUAACUUACUGGUUUAAUGCAAAUGAAAGCAAUAAAGAACCCUUAAAAUGCA